rnacentral:rRNA from 1 species
AUUGAACGCUGGCGGCAUGCCUUACACAUGCAAGUCGAACGGCAGCACGGGUGCUUGCACCUGGUGGCGAGUGGCGAACGGGUGAGUAAUACAUCGGAACAUGUCCUGUAGUGGGGGAUAGCCCGGCGAAAGCAGGAUUAAUACCGCAUACGAUCUACGGAUGAAAGCGGGGGCCCUUCGGGCCUCGCGCUAUAGGGUUGGCCGAUGGCUGAUUAGCUAGUUGGUGGGGUAAAGGCCUACCAAGGCGACGAUCAGUAGCUGGUCUGAGAGGACGACCAGCCACACUGGGACUGAGACACGGCCCAGACUCCUACGGGAGGCAGCAGUGGGGAAUUUUGGACAAUGGGCGAAAGCCUGAUCCAGCAAUGCCGCGUGUGUGAAGAAGGCCUUCGGGUUGUAAAGCACUUUUGUCCGGAAAGAAAUCCUUGGCCCUAAUACGGUCGGGGGAUGACGGUACCGGAAGAAUAAGCACCGGCUAACUACGUG